rnacentral:tRNA from 1 species
AGGGACAUAGUUCAACGGUAGAAUAGAGGUCUCCAAAAACCUUUGAUGUGGGUUCGAUUCCUACUGUCCCUGCCA